CUACGGGACGCUGCAGUGGGGAAUAUUGGACAAUGGGGGAAACCCUGAUCCAGCAAUGCCGCGUGUGUGAAGAAGGCCUGCGGGUUGUAAAGCACUUUCGGUUGGGAGGACUGCUUCUAGCACUAAUAUUGUUGGAAGUUGACGUUACCUUCAGAAGAAGCACCGGCUAACUCCGUGCCAGCAGCCGCGGUAAUACGGAGGGUGCAAGCGUGAAUCGGAAUUACUGGGCGUAAAGCGCGCGGAGGUGGCUAGAUCAGUCGGGUGUGAAAGCCCCGGGCUUAACCUGGGAACUGCAUCCGAUACUGUCUAGCUUGAGUACAGGAGAGGAGAGUGGAAUUCCACAUGUAGCGGUGAAAUGCGUAGAUAUGUGGAGGAACACCAAUGGCGAAGGCAGCUCUCUGGCCUGAUACUGACGCUGAGGUGCGAAAGCGUGGGGAGCAAACAGGAUUAGAUACCCCGGUAGUC
rnacentral:rRNA from 1 species